rnacentral:rRNA from 1 species
ACUCAAAUGAAUUGACGGGGGCCCGCACAAGCGGAGGAACAUGUGGUUUAAUUCGAUGAUACGCGAGGAACCUUACCCAGGCUCGAACGCCGAACGAAUACGGGGGAAACUCUGUAGCCAGCAAUGGCGGUCGGCGAGGUGCUGCAUGGUUGUCGUCAGCUCGUGCCGUGAGGUGUCGGCUUAAGUGCCAUAACGAGCGCAACCCCUAUCGAUAGUUGCCAGCGGGUCAUGCCGGGAACUCUAUCGAGACUGCCAGCGCAAGCUGCGAGGAAGGCGGGGAUGACGUCAAAUCAGCACGGCCCUUACGUCUGGGGCGACACACGUGUUACAAUGGCCGGUACAGAGGGCAGCCACCCCGCGAGGGGGCGCGAAUCUCCAAAGCCGGUCGUAGUUCGGAUCGGAGGCUGAAACCCGCCUCCGUGAAGCUGGAUUCGCUAGUAAUCGCAUAUCAGCCAUGAUGCGGUGAAUACGUUCCCGGGCCUUGUACACACCGCCCGU